ACAAAGGCCCUUUUCAGGGCCACUCCAUUGCUCACUGGGAGAGCUGU
rfam:Colinus virginianus strain Texas jcf7180006226688, whole genome shotgun sequence.